rnacentral:rRNA from 1 species
CCUACGGGAGGCAGCAGUGAGGAAUAUUGGUCAAUGGGCGGAAGCCUGAACCAGCCAAGUAGCGUGAUGGAUGAAGGCCCUACGGGUUGUAAACCGCUUUUGUAUGGGGAUAACACCAUCCACUUGUGGAAGUCUGCAGGUACCGUGCGAAUAAGGUUCGGCAAACUCCGUGCCAGCAGCCGCGGUAAUACGGAGGGCCCGACCGUUAUCCGGAUGCAUGGGGCUUAAAGGGAGGGUGGGCGGGCUGUAAAGCCAGCUGUAAAACCGCGGGGCUCAACCGCGGCGGGCAGGUGAUACUGGACGCCGUGAGUAAAGGAGGGGCAGGCGGAAUGCGUGGUGUAGCAGUGAAAUGCGUAGAUAUCACGAGGAACCCCGAUGGCGAAGGCAGGCUGCCGGGGUGCAACUGACGCUGAGGCUCGAAGGUGAGGGUAUCAAACAGGAUUAGAUACCCGGGUAGUC